GUGUAUCACAGGUAGUAAAAGUCAGCAGUGUCUUGUGAAGCUUUUGUCUCAAUCUUGUACAUAUGUACACAUGGUCACGAUGGACACGGAGCACUGCAGCCAAGAAGAUGAGAAACAGACCGAAACACCAAAGGCCAAGCACUGAGCUAACUCCAACAGAUGCUGCUUGGCUGCUGUGUGUCCCUCCACCCGAGGAGCAGCUCUCGGAAUCAGUUCGCUCACCACCUCCAUCUGCACAACUCUCACAGUUUUGAAAGAUAGCCAAGAUCCUGAAAGUGUAGCUGUCACAAUCUCUGAUACAUCCGAGUCACCCUGAAGCCUCAUUCUAGAAUGAAAACUUCAAGGCCCCGACCUGGAAAAUUCUGAUUCACCUCUUCCACUUUCCUGCGUGCCUAGAUCUCAGUGUGGCCGGAGCACAGUUCUGCCACCAGGUCCUGCCAGCUUCCAGACUGUCCUCCGGCUACAUGCUUUGGCUUGCGCAAGGACUUUACCUGCCUUGUUUUCUACACAUAAUCCUCAGUCCCUGGCACGAUGCUGGAGGAAUGAAUGGAUGAGUGCACCCAGGUGGAGAAGGAAGGUGUAAAGUCAACAGUGUCGUGAAUUCUGGCCUUGGAAACCUAAAACUUCAGAGUAAAGCAGAAAUAUUUAAAAGAAUAAACAAAAGGCCUUCCUAAGGAGAUGCUAGAUAAAACACAUCAAACUCAACAGAAUGGGGAAUCAUUUUCUGAGCUGUAACAAAGGCAAAGGCAAUGCAGUCUUUGUUAACACAGGAUCAGAACUGAGAGCCAGGUUGACUGAAGACAAGAAGCAUCUCUUGGCUCUAAUCAGCUGCAUCAGCUAAUGACACAGACUGAAUCAUUUGGGAGACCUGCGAGAACAAGGGAGCAUCUGAGAAGACAGCCAUGGGAAUGGAAGACAAUUUGAAACAAGCAAUCAUGGGAUGAAAGAGAAUAUGUUGGCUAUAAAAUAAGUGCAGGGAUAAAAGAGAUGA